rnacentral:rRNA from 1 species
UAAUACGUAGGGGGCGAGCGUUGUCCGGAAUCAUUGGGCGUAAAGCGCGCGUAGGCGGCUCGGAAAGUCGGAUGUGAAAACCCGGGGCUCAACCCCGGGCCUGCACCCGAUACUUCCGGGCUCGAGGCAGGUAGGGGAGAUCGGAAUUCCUGGUGUAGCGGUGAAAUGCGCAGAUAUCAGGAGGAACACCGGUGGCGAAGGCGGAUCUCUGGGCCUGACCUGACGCUGAGGCGCGAAAGCUAGGGGAGCGAACAGGAUUAGAUACCCUGGUAGUCCUAGCCGUAAACGUUGGACGCUAGGUGUGGGCGGUAUCGACCCCGUCCGUGCCGAAGCUAACGCAUUAAGCGUCCCGCCUGGGGAGUACGGCCGCAAGGCUAAAACUCAAAGGAAUUGACGG